rnacentral:rRNA from 1 species
CAGUAGCGUAUAUUAAAGUUGUUGCGGUUAAAAAGCUCGUAGUUGGAUUUCUGUCGGUGAGAGGCGGUCAGCCCUAGUGGUUUGCACACGUCGCACCAUCGGCAUCUCUGUGGGGAACGUGUCUGCACUUCAGUGUGUGGCGUGUGAUCCAGGACAUUUACUUUGAGGAAAUUACAGUGUUCCAAGCAGGCUUGCGCUCUAUGAAUACGUUAGCAUGGAAUAAUAGCAUCGGACCUCGACCUAAAAGACUGUUGGUUUCUUGGGUCGAGGUAAAGAUGAAUAGGGAUUGUUGGGGCGAUUCGUAUUUAACUGUCAGAGGUGAAAUUACUUGGUAUUUGUUUGAAGAACGGACUACUGCGAAGGCAUCUGCCAAAGAAUGCUCUCAUUGUAUCAAGAACGAAAGUUAAGGGGUAGUCGAAGAUGAUCAGAUACCAU